ACGAGAAAGUGGAGCAAUCCAUGAGUACAGUGGCGUACGGGUGAGUAACACGUGGGUAAUCUACCUCUUUGUGUGGAAUAACCCUGGGAAACCGGGGCUAAUACCGCAUAAGCUCGAGAGAGGAAAGCAGCAAUGCGCUGAGAGAGGAGCCCGCGGCCGAUUAGCUAGUCGGCAGGGUAAAAGCCUACCAAGGCAAAGAUCGGUAGCCGGCCUGAGAGGGCACACGGCCACACUGGCACUGAAACACGGGCCAGACUCCUACGGGAGGCAGCAGUGGGGAAUCUUGCACAAUGGGGGAAACCCUGAUGCAGCGACGCCGCGUGAGCGAUGAAGCCCUUCGGGGUGUAAAGCUCUUUCGGCAGGGAAGAUGAUGACGGUACCUGCAGAAGCAGCUGCGGCUAACUACGUGCCAGCAGCCGCGGUAAUACGUAGGCAGCAAGCGUUGUUCGGAGUUACUGGGCGUAAAGGGUGUGUAGGCGGUCUUCUAAGUUUGGUGUGAAAUCUCCCGGCUCAACUGGGAGGGUGCGCCGAAUACUGAAAGACUAGAGUGCGGGAGAGGAUAGUGGAAUUCCUGGUGUAGCGGUGAAAUGCGUAGAUAUCAGGAGGAACACCGGUGGUGUAGACGGCUAUCUGGACCGUAACUGACGCUGAGACACGAAAGCGUGGGUAGCAAACAGGAUU
rnacentral:rRNA from 1 species